UGUGUAGGCGGUUGCGCAAGUCUGGUGUGAAAUCUUCGCCGCUUAACGGGAAGGGGUCACUGAAAACUGCGUAACUCGAGUCUGGUAGAGGCUGGCGGAAUUCCUGGUGUAGCGGUGGAAUGUGUAGAUAUCAGGAAGAACACCUGUGGCGAAGGCGGCCAGCUGGGCCACGACUGACGCUGAAACACGAAAGCGUGGGGAGCAAACGGGAUUAGAUACCCCGGUAGUCCACGCUGUAAACGGUGCGCACUAGGUGUGAGGGGUAUCGACCCCCCUUGUGCCGCAGUUAACACAUUAAGUGCGCCGCCUGGGGAGUACGGCCGCAAGGUUGAA
rnacentral:rRNA from 1 species